UACGGAGGGUGCGAGCGUUAAUCGGAAUUACUGGGCGUAAAGCGUGCGCAGGCGGUUUGUUAAGCGAGAUGUGAAAGCCCCGGGCUCAACCUGGGAACCGCAUUUCGAACUGGCAAACUAGAGUCUUGUAGAGGGGGGUAGAAUUCCAGGUGUAGCGGUGAAAUGCGUAGAGAUCUGGAGGAAUACCGGUGGCGAAGGCGGCCCCCUGGACAAAGACUGACGCUGAGGCACGAAAGCGUGGGGAGCAAACAGG
rnacentral:rRNA from 1 species